rnacentral:rRNA from 1 species
AUUGAACGCUGGCGGCAGGCUUAACACAUGCAAGUCGAGCGAGCGGCGGCCCGGUGAGUAAUGUCUGGGAAACUGCCUGAUGGAUGGGGAUAACUACUUGAAACGGUAGCUAAUACCGCAUACCCUCGGAUUUUCCCAGAUUGGAUUAGCUAUUAGGUGGGGUAAUGGCUCACCUAGGCGACGAUCCCUAGCUGGUCUGAGAGGAUGACCAGCAACACUUGAACUGAGAGACGGUCCAGACGCCGACGGGAGGCAGGAGGGGGGAAUAUUGCACAAUGGGCGCAAGCCUGAUGCAGCCAUGCCGCGAGUGAGAAGAAGGCCUUCGGGUUGUAAAGCACUUUCAGCGAGGAGGCGUUACUCGCAGAAGAAGCACCGGCUAACUCCGUGCCAGCAGCCGCGGGAAGAC